AUUAUUAAUAGUAUGACCACGAUGCGUUUGUCAAAACCAAGAAAUUAUCAUUGGUAUGUCAUAUUCCUACUGACUACCCUACAGAUUUUGAGUUUGUCUGAGGUUUUCUCACAACCGGACUGGGGUUUGGGGUCUGGGAGAAGAAUAACACAGGGUUGAGGCUCCUCACCUUGUCCCUCGUGUCAGGGGAAUGUGCUGGGGACAUGCCUGGCCACCCCUGAUGUUAAACCUGGCCACUCAUUUAAGGUGCCAGCUUUGUCCGCGCUAAAGGGACGCUCUUGCCUCCCCACAUUCUUUGGAAUUAAUCGCCUUCAUUCAAGUUGGAGGACUCAAGCCUCACCUCCUGGAGGGAGGUGUCUACUGGGACCAUCUGCAAUUCUUCUGUUAAAAAUGUGUCCCUUUUAUCACAGUUAUUUGUGUGUUCAAUCAUUUAUUGACAUGACUCUGGCAGGAGGAAGUAAAUUGGUCACAUUCACAAACCAUGUUUUCAGUUACACAGCAAGCAUCUGGUUGCUUUUUGGGAGUUUGUGAUUAUUUUAAUAAUAUUUUCAGAUAUUUCAAUUUUCAGUAGCAAUAAUAAUAGGGAGAAUGAUGAUGAGGGAGGCUCAUCUCCCUAAUGUCACAUUAAAGAGAGGUAUUUCCCAACAGGGAAGAAUUAGAGUGGGUAAUUCAGGCCUUUCUCUCCAUCCACUUAGCUGAUUUACUUCAGAUUAGGAAAAAGAGAUAAUCAAAUUAGUGGCAGCCUGUGGUCAGAGUAUAUGGAUAUUUGAUGUAUCUAUAGUCUUAAUCAAAUAUCAAAUAUCCCAUAUGCUCAUAACUAUCCAGGGAGCUGUUUGCAGAUUAAAUAAGAUGAUGUAUAUAGUAUUUAAAGUAUCAGCACUUUUUAAAAAAUAAACAAUAAAACAUAUGUUCCGGUAAAGGCACUUGCCGAAUGUACACAGCUCACAAAUAUUGGAGCUGGAAUUCAGACCCCACUGACUCCGUCAUGAUAUUAUGUAAUUACUCUGAUUUUACAUACGAGUGAACCAAAGCUAUUAAGGAGCAUAGUCAGGAUUAGAAAUCCAAACUGCCAGAUUCCAGAUCUUUCUUCCUACUGGUGCAUAUAUCUGCCCCUGAUCAUCAAGGCACCCUCUACUCUGCCUUCCCUUCUUCCCCAUUGUCCUUCUUAGGAACUUUCCAGUAUCAGAAAAGCAGUGAGCUGCGGACUGAGUGACACCCACUGAGAUGUGGGCUCGGCUUGGCAAAGCAUGGAAACGUCCUCAUUUCUGGCAUGCCUCACUGAUCAAGAUGUUCUCUGGGCUAGAGAAAUGUAUAAAUGUGGGUGUUUGCUGCUCUUUUAUCAUGGACACUGUGCUGAUCUCUCAAGACCCUUCGAGACAUGAGGACAUUCCUCUUUCUCUUUGCUGUUCUCUUCCUUCUGGCCCCAGGUAAAAUGAACGUCUUUGUAGGGAAGGUUCUAGAGGUGGUGGCCCAGAGAAAGAGUCUGCUUCAGUGAGCACCUUGGUGUGGUCAGCCCGGUGGCCCUGCAGGGGAGCAUUUACUAUGGGAGGUGACCCCCCCUAAUGUCUCUUCUAUAAAUCCAUUGCAUUUUCCCUGAUUGUCUAAGAUGGGGUAUCACGGGGUUGAGGAAAUAAAGAUAUGCCAGGAAAGAUGCCCUUUGGUCCCCAGCUCCAUGCUCACUAACAAAAACAAAAAAUUGGGGAAAAAAUGUAAAAGCUAGGGUUGGCAUCUAUGGGUCUUGUAAAAAAUAGUCGUGAUAGAUAUGAGACAGGUAAGAAAGAGAGCCAGAAAAAGGCAAAAGGGGACGAGGAAAGGGACGGAGCUCGGACACCGCGUUCACGCCGGCCAUGGCGCAGGUCAAACGUACGUGUCAAACUGCUGCUCCUUCGUCACAACACCAUGAAGCUGGGCACUUGUGACGAACACUUCACACCACAAAAUGCAUGCCGUUCACCAAUGCCGGGACCUUUAAGAAAACUCUGUCCUACUUCGAAUUUAGUGAUUUUAGACCAACACUUCAGGCUUGGAAGGUUUGCUUUAUAGAUAUUUUUCAGAGGCAGGAACUGAGCCUCAGAUGGGCUAGGCGGCUUCUCAAAGUCAUACAGAUAAGCGGGAAUGAAGCCAGGACCCGAGAGUUCACAGCAGGACUCCUGCCACAUCCUCUGGCUCCCAGGAACCUCGAGUGGCUCCAGUCAGAUCUUCCUCAGAAUAAAAUCCAAGACUAGACUUAUCCCAGUUUCCAGAGAGCUAGAGAAAGGGCUUUUCAGAGCCUGCAACGAGCCCAAAUUGUGCCAGAUGCUAUAGAUGUCUCCUUAGGAGGUUCAGAAUUCUCACGCCAGCUGUAUGCGUUGCUGGUCUGUUUUGCAGUGAGCCUGUGUGGUUCGAUUCUGUGCCAAGUGCACGGGAUCCAGGACCUACGCCAGGAACGCGUUUUUUGACGAGAAAUGCUCCAAGCUUCAAGGGAGGUGCGUGAAUUCUUGUCAGAAAAAUGAAGAACUCGUUGCUCUCUGCCAGAAGUCUCUGAAAUGCUGC